UUCCUUUGAAACAAAGUAUUUUUUUGUUUCCAUGCAGUCUUAGAUGUUAUUCUUAUUCCUUUUCUUAUGUUUUCAAAAUUGUUUUACAAAAAUGUUGUUUUGUGACGAAGGUGAAGUGAAUGUUCAGCUGCCGCUCCCACGGUCAACAUAUUAUUCAGAUUCUUUUUGGAAAACGGUGGCCUGUCCUCCACGACGGCUGCGGAACACGAACCAAACAGGAAAAAACAACCCGUCAGAACCGAACCACCUGUGAACCGGCACAGGGCACCGGAAGGCUUAGAUGGGACGAUCCGGCGUUGGAAACUUCCACAGCUUUGAGGGAAGAAUCGAUAGUGGAUGCCUAGGGCAGCCAAUUGGAAUGUACUAACUGUUCCGGUGUUCCGGCUAAACGGUUGCAAUCUUCCGAUCCAGUCAAAGGAGACUCAAAGUUUGGCGUCGAAACCAUUCAUCAGUUGUUCCAAUGGAACUGUCCGUCAACGAACUUCUUUUGAUAUUUUAACAAUAUGGCUGAAAGAUCUUAAAGUGUUGUCCUGAGAGGCGAAAUUUGGACAAUGAAGCCUAAUUUUCAAACAGUGAUAUUAGGUAAUUGAAAUGUAAAACAUAUAAACAUUCAUAAUUUAAUAAAAUGGAUAAAUUA